GCCAUUAGGCCGAGGGCACGCCUGCCUGGGCGUC
rnacentral:rRNA from 1 species